rnacentral:rRNA from 1 species
GUCUUUUAGAAUUUUAUUAAAAGUCUAACCUGCCCAUUGAAAAAUUUAAAAGGCUGCGGUAUUUUGACCGUACAAAGGUAGCAUAAUCAUUAGUUUUUUAAUUGAAAACUUGUAUGAAUGGUUGAAUGAGAUAUUAACUGUUUUAAUAAAAUUAUAGAAUUUUACUUUUUAAUUAAAAGGUUAAAAUAAAAUUAAAAGACGAGAAGACCCUAUAGAUUUUUAUAUUUAUAAUAUUAUAAAAUUUAAGUUUAAUAUUUUUUUAAUAAAAUUAAAUAUUUUGUUGGGGUGAUAGUAAAAUUUAAUUAACUUUUAUUUUUUAAAUUUAACAUUUAUUUUUGAUUAAUUGAUCCAUUUUUUUUUGAUUUAAAGAUUAAAUUACCUUAGGGAUAACAGCGUAAUUUUUUUUUAAGUUCUUAUUAAUAAAAAAGUUUGCGACCUCGAUGUUGGAUUAAGAUUAAUUUUAGGUGCAGCAGUUUAAAAUUUAAGUCUGUUCGACUUUUAAAUUCUU